rnacentral:lncRNA from 1 species
CUAACCUCUGCAUCCAUGUACGCGAUGCAAAACUUUCAAAUCACUUGUCAUUCGUGCUGUAAACCCACUAAAUUCCCAAUUAAACCCCAAAUUAAAAUUGGGUCAACCAACCUAGUUUUCCAAUUUAUAAGAAAUCAACACCCUAAAUCCUCAUUAUUCUUUUAUUUUGAGCCUUAUCCGAGCUGCUUACCCUUUUCUUGUACUGAAAGUUGCGCCCCAAUAUAAAUCUACAAGACUUUUCCUCUCUUUUUCUUCUAGCACUUCACUUUAAGGUUUGUUUUCUUUUUUUCUUUCUCUUUUUUGGGUUCAAAGAUCAUGUAUUGUUAAUAACCAAAAAGCUAUCUUUCUAAAGACGGAUAGAAACUCACCAUCUAUCUUCUUAAUCUAACACUAUACAUCAAUCUAGAUAUCAAAUACCUAUAGCACUGCAAAGAAUACAUACAUCAGUUUUAUCAUUCUACUCCUAAGGAAAGUAAUUUAGCUUGCUCAAUAAAUUCCUCCAGGAUGCUCUAUCUCUUCCUUGAAUGUGUAAGUGCAUUACUAUGCCAUAAAAUAUGUGAUUAUCCAUUGCUUGUCCAUUAUUGAAUCUCAAUGUAUUCCUAUCAAGCCAUAUACUAUAGAUAAACAUUGCAAAUGUGCCACAAAUGGACUCAACAUAAGCUCAUUUCUUCUUUGGUACUGUGCAUAUCCAUUUUAUUUUCUACUGCCAUGUUAUACUGGUUCUUCUAAUUUGCAGCCAAUUUAACAUUUCUCUCCACACCUGGUUGCUAUAAGUGCAACUGAAGAACAGGUGGUCAAAAGACUCUAUAUCUUUAUCACAAAAGAUGCAAUUCAUUGGUACUUGGAUUUCUAUCUUUUGAAGCCUCACUACAUUUACCAACCUUUGCUGUACUGCCAUCCAUAACAUGAACUUAAACCUUGGGUGCACUUGAUUUUGUAAGGUUAUAUUCUUCCAUGGAACCUUAGGUAGUUGAGACAUCAUGGUUUGGUAUGCUUGUUUAAUCUUGAACUUGCUACUUUGCACCAUCUUUUCCAGGAAAUACUGAAUUGAGCCUUGGUAUUAUUGCUGUAAAAUCACCACUUGUCUAUUAUCUAUAAUUUUUUUCACCGCCCAAGCUGUAGUUUUAGGACUCGUUACCAUUUCCAAUCCAUUACUAUUGAUAUAGUGAUAGUGCACUUGAUUCAUAAUGUGUCUUUCUUCAUAGAUAUAGCCCACAGGUGCUUCAGAAUAGCUGCUUUGUUCCAUCUUUUGAUAUCAAUUACAUUCAGUCCACCUGUUAAACCUGGACAACAUAUUCUUUCCCAUGCCACUAUUUUCUUCCUUGAUAUAUCACCUUUACCUAUCCAGAGAAAGGUUCUACACACUGCUUCUGGCAUCUUGAUCACUUUUUGUGGUAGUACAAAAAUUUAUGUCCAAUAACUUUGCAUUCAAAAAAAUACAAACUUGACGAGCUGAAUUCUUCUAGAGUAUGAUAGUAACUUAGCUGACCAGUAGUUUAUCUGGGCUGUAAACUUCUCAACUAGUGGUAGGUAUUGGGGUACUGUUAGCUUUUUGGUGGAAAGAUGAACCCCUGAGUACUUGAAUGGGAGUUUUUCAUCCACAUAACCCAAUCAUUUUAUAAUAUAUAUUUCCAAGCUACUAGUAGUACCUAUUAUAUAGAUUGAGCUCUUCUCCUGAUUAGGUCUCAGACCAGAUGCUUUAGAGAAUUUUCAAAAGUUAUCUUGUAUCAAGAUGGUAGAGGUUAAAUAGGCCUUACAAAACAUAUGUAGGUCAUUAUCAAAAUGCAUAUGUAUCACUCCAAAUAUCUUUCAUCUAGGAUGGAAGUGAAAUGGGUUAUUGAGCACCAACUGUGUCAAUUCCCUAUGCAAGUUUUCCAUUGUUAUAACAAAGAGAUAGGGAGACAUGGGGUCCCCUUGCCUCAGUCGUCUCUUAGCUUGAAAUGGUUGUGUUAGUCCACCAUUUAGCAUUAAUGAAUAAGGGAUUGUUGACACAUAUUCCAUUAUCCAGUUAAUGAACUUUUAAGGAAACCUUAGUUCUGUCAGCAUAUCUCUUAAAAACUGCCACUCUAGUGUAUCAUAUACUUUCCUCGUAUCCACUUUUAGUAUACACCUAAGUGAUAUCCAUUUUCUUGUGUAGCUUUUAAAUUACUCAUGACUCAGCAGUAUAUUAUCAGAGAUGAUCCUCCCUUCACAAAAGCUGAUUGGGACAUUUCUAUCAAUCCAUUUAUUACCUUCUGCAUCUUGUUAGUGAGAAUUUCGGCAACCAGUUUGUAUAGAGUGGAAAAACAAACAAUGGGUCUAUAAUCCUUCACCUUAAUAGGUGAAGAAAAUUUUGGAAUAAAGUUAUGGAAGUGCAUUUCUAGGCUUUCAUUAUCUUACCCUCAGAAAAGAACUACUGUACAGCUCAUACGCACUCGCCUUCACCUCUUCCUAGUUGCUGUUGAAAAACUCAAUAGGGUAACCAUCUAUUCCAGGACUUUUGUCUAGUUGUAUGCCUUUGACUGUAUGAUAAAUAUCCUCUACACUAACUUAUUGUAUAUACAUGAAUUAUUGGUUCCUGUCAAGACAUGGACCUGCUUUUGAUCACUAAUGCAUUUAGAUAAGGCAAUUCCUCAACACUACCCCCUUGAGCAAUGUAAAGAAUGACACAAAUUCCAUUUUCACUUUCUUAGGGUUAGUCAACUUUACUCCAUUCUCAGUAUAUAUAGCAAUGAUAGAAUUGUGAGUUGUUCUGAUCAUUACUUGAUCAUGAAAGUACUUAGUAUUAGCAUCCUUACUAUCAAUCAAACACACUCUUGAUUUCUGUCAUAGUACCUUCUCCUCAAUGAGACUCUAUUUUUAUAUUUCUCUUAAUAUUGCCUCCCCUUGCUCAAUUAAAGUUGGCUUGAAUAAUUGGUUAUUAAUUUGAGUUUGUACAAUCUCUAGUUGUUACCUAGCCUUAUUGAGCUUCUAUGCAUAUGAGGCCAUGAAGAUAUUCAAUUCCUGUAACUCCACUUUUAGUUUCUUCAGUUUGUUCCACAAUCCUUGCAUUGCGUUUCCACUUGUUGAUCUCUGCCAAAUUGUAAUACCCCGGGAAAUUUUUUGCUGAAAUUUUAUGCGUAAAUGUGUUGGUUUCUAUCUUCUAGAAUGAAUUAUAAAUUUUUUCAUGCGGAAUGUAAUAGAUUAUGACCCACCAUUGCGUAGAGUAUCGAAUAAGAUUUCCAACGAUAUGUGGAUCAUCCAAAACGGACACCCGAGCGAUAAGUUAUGAACAUUUCGAUUGAACUGUGAAUAGUAGUGAACAGUAAAACACGCAGGAAAAAGUACUGAGGCCUGACAUAUUUUUCAUCCAGCUUAAAACGAUCAUAAAUCCUUACACAUAAUGAUUUGGGUGAUCUACUAUAUAUAUCAACGGAAAGCUAUGCGAGUCCUCUUUCCAAUGAAAUUGGUUUCAUUCAAUUUGUCUAUUGGAGCAAAAAGUUAUUGCCGAUCUACUUCAACCUACCGAAAGAAAAUUUUUGGGUCAACUUCGAAUGAUCAUAACUCUUCGUACACAAUGAUAUGAGUGAGAUACUAUAUAUCAAUGGAAAUAUAUGAGAUUCCUCUUUCUAAUGAAAUUGGUUUCAUCCAAUUUUGAUAUCGGAGUAAAACGUUAUGGUCGAUCUACUUCAGACUAUCAAAACAGUCCAUCAAAAGACAGAUUCGAGAAUUAUUUGAUUUUUAGGGGUGUUUUGGUCAUCCCCCCUCACCCAAAAUCCAUCCAAACCCUAUAUUAAAGCCUAUUAGAAGCAUUAUAUGUUAUAUUUCAUCAAAUUCCCUAAAAAAACCCUAAGCUCCUACAUCCAACUUCAAGAACCUCCAAAGUUCACCAUUAAACCUGCAAAUUUAUUCAAGAUUCCAAGUUCUUAGUUCAAGAACUCCAAGAACCAUCAUUUAAAGGCACGAUUAACAUCUCAAAAAUGAGUAUCGAUCUAAAGUUCAUCAUUCAAGGUAUGUGGGGUUUUUCAACAAGAACUUUCUUUCGUUCUUGUGCCAAAAAGUAAUUUUCUUUACAAAGGCAUGAUUUUUAUUUGAUUUUUACGAAUUUGAAGCAUGAACCCAUAUCUUAUGAUGAUUAUUAUGAAAUCUUGUUGUUUAUGAUUUUGAAAGAUGAAUUUACAUGUGUGGAGAUAUAAAGAAUGAAUCUUGAAGGAUAUUUAUCAUGAUUUUGAUAUUUGGGUCGUGAAUCCCCAUUGGAAAUUGUAUUUUUUGAGAAAGUGUGUGUUAUAAGCACGUUGAUGUUGAAUAUUUGAGAUAUUUUGAAUGAUGUGACCUUUUGGUCUUAAUGGAGUUGUUUUGAACUCGAGUGUGAAAGAAAUUCACAGCGUGGUUGAUUUUGAUAGAUGGGAAGCAUGAUGGAUCCCGAGGUAUAUUUAUAUAUUACUAAAAUUGUUUUGUUGUGGAUUGUCUUUUAAAUGAUUUGAGCUAAGUCUGAGAGAAAUCAUCAGCAUCGAGUGGAAGGUAUAAAGCGGCCUUACUUCCCUAGAACUACGUGCACCCAUAGGAGUAAGCCUGAGGCUGAUUUAUAUAGUGAUCACUAGUUUGUGUGGAUUUGAUAUCGAUAGUCCUACUAUGAUGGAAAGGAUAGGACGUCUCUCCCCAACGUGGGUCGUACGUUGGACUCCAUGUGGCUCACAUGGUUUAUGUCAGUUAUAGGAUCUCCCAGUGUGUGUGUGUUUCCUUGUGUCUAUGGUGAAUGGUGAAGUGAUUUGAAAGUGGAAUUGUGAAAGUUAUUCUUUCGAAAGAUUUAAAUGAUAUUUACAUUAUGAGAAUUGAUAUUCUUGAUGAACUGAAAGUGAUUGACAAAUUAUAUGAUGACUCACAUGUGUUAUUGUACUUAUUUCAUCCUCUCAUGAUUAUGAUGAUUUUCUUCGAGCUAUGUGAGUCUUUCAUACAUCCUGCAUAUUUCUUAUAAAUAUUUAUGAUGAUGAUGUUUAUACAGCUGCAUACACGCCCCAUAUACUCGGUUCCUUUCCAUGGUACUAACCCACAUCUUCGGAUGUGGGCUGCAUUUUCUCAAAAUAUAGGUUCAGGUGCUCAGUUCUAGGUUCGACAAUGAUUCUUCA